rnacentral:rRNA from 1 species
CAGUUCGGAUUGGAGUCUGCAACUCGACUCCAUGAAGCUGGAUUCGCUAGUAAUCGCGCAUCAGCCACGGCGCGGUGAAUACGUUCCCGGGCCUUGUACACACCGCCCGUCAAGCCAUGGGAGCCGGGGGUACCUGAAGUGCGUGACCGCAAGGAGCGCCCUAAGGUAAAACCGGUGACUGGGGCUAAGUCGUAACAAGGUAUC